GUACACUCCUACGGGAGGCAGCAGUGGGGAAUAUUGGACAAUGGGCGCAAGCCUGAUCCAGCCAUGCCGCGUGAGUGAUGAAGGCCCUAGGGUUGUAAAGCUCUUUCACCGGUGAAGAUAAUGACGGUAACCGGAGAAGAAGCCCCGGCUAACUUCGUGCCAGCAGCCGCGGUAAUACGAAGGGGGCUAGCGUUGUUCGGAUUUACUGGGCGUAAAGCGCACGUAGGCGGACUAUUAAGUCAGGGGUGAAAUCCCGGGGCUCAACCCCGGAACUGCCUUGGAUACUGGUAGUCUUGAGUUCGAGAGAGGUGAGUGGAAUUCCGAGUGUAGAGGUGAAAUUCGUAGAUAUUCGGAGGAACACCAGUGGCGAAGGCGGCUCACUGGCUCGAUACUGACGCUGAGGUGCGAAAGCGUGGGGAGCAAACAGGAUUAGAAACCCGGGUAGUCCCAUGA
rnacentral:rRNA from 1 species